CGCAGCAGGCGCGAAAUCUUUACAAUGCGGGAAACCGCGAUAAGGGGACACCGAGUGCCAGCAUUUAUGUUGGCUGUCCACAUGUGUAAACGGCAUGUGUUAGCAAGGGCCGGGCAAGACCGGUGCCAGCCGCCGCGGUAACACCGGCGGCCCGAGUGGUAAUCACUUUUAUUGGGUCUAAAGGGUCCGUAGCCGGUUUGAUCAGUUCUUCGGGAAAUCUGACAGCUCAACUGUUAGGCUUCCGGGGAAUACU
rnacentral:rRNA from 1 species